CACUUCAUCACUGACACACACAACAAUCUUCAUCAUCAUGACCUUCAUCAUCAUCUUCAUCGGGACUCUCACAGUGUUUGCUCGAGAGUGUGGAGGACAGAUCAGCGUCACUCAGAGUCCCUCAAUGACAGCAGAACCAGACAAACCUGUCACCAUCACCUGCAGAACCAGUAGAGAUGUGCAGAGAUGGAGUGAUGGAGAUGAAGGUUUAGCCUGGUAUUUGCAGAAACCUGGAGAAGCUCCUAAACUCCUGAUUCGUUAUGUGAAAAAGCUUCUGUCAGGAACUGCAUCUAGAUUCAGUGGCAGUGGAUCUAACAGUGAUUUCACUCUGAGCAUCAGUGGAGUCCAGACUGAAGAUGCUGGACAUUAUUACUGUCAGAGUUUACACUGCAGAACAGAUUCGAACAAUAACUGUGUGGGUGAUGUUGUGUUCACACAGUGAUGAAAAGUGGAACAAAAACCUCCGUCAGUCAGUCAGUGUCACAGAGACUGAACUGAUCCUGGAGCAACUCAAACACUGAAUACAAAUUAAACACUGAACUCAAUCUGACUUUAAUAUAUAGUUUUAACUUCAUCUGCAUUUUUUAACAGAUAAUUUUAAAAUAUAAAAAAAUAUUUAUUAAAAUUAAAAAAUUCAAUUAAGUAAUUGUUUACAAUAUUUGUUAUCAUCUUUACUGAAUAUUAUUUAAUAAUUCAUAUUUUUAAUCAUGUUUAUAAAGUGCAUGAUGAUGUAUUUUUUCUAAUUAUAGUGUAAAGACCAUAAAGAUGUUGCUUGAAUUGUUUAAUCAUCGUCACAAAUCAUCUGUUAAGAUCAUCUAAUUUAGCUUUAAUUACUGAGGCUAAAACCCCACUGAUGAUGAUGAUGACAGAUGUAUUGUAUAUUGUCUGUCUUCAGCAUCACUGAAUCUGUUCAGUCUGACGGUGAAUCGAUUGACAGUUUUCCUCAAGAGCUGCUGAUGAUCAAAUAAACACACGAUGCCUCAAACAGCACUGCAGUCUCCAGCAGACCAGAGUAAAACAUUCAGAAAGCUGCAGCUCAUGACA